UAAACGACUCUCGGCAACGGAUAUCUUGGCUCUCGCAUCGAUGAAGAACGUAGCGAAAUGCGAUACUUGGUGUGAAUUGCAGAAUCCCGUGAACCAUCGAGUUUUUGAACGCAAGUUGCGCCCGAAGCCUUUNGGCCAGGGCACGUCUGCCUGGGCGUCACGC
rnacentral:rRNA from 31 species